rnacentral:rRNA from 1 species
UACGUAGGGCGCAAGCGUUGUCCGGAAUUAUUGGGCGUAAAGAGCUCGUAGGCGGCCUGUUGCGUCCGCUGUGAAAUCCCGGGGCUUAACCCCGGGCCUGCAGUGGAUACGGGCAUGCUGGAGUGUGGCAGGGGAGACUGGAAUUCCUGGUGUAGCGGUGGAAUGCGCAGAUAUCAGGAGGAACACCGGUGGCGAAGGCGGGUCUCUGGGCCAUUACUGACGCUGAGGAGCGAAAGCGUGGGGAGCGAACAGG